AACGAACGCUGGCGGCAUGCCUAACACAUGCAAGUCGAACGAGAUCUUCGGGUCUAGUGGCGCACGGGUGCGUAACGCGUGGGAAUCUGCCCUUUGGUUCGGAAUAACAGUUGGAAACGACUGCUAAUACCGGAUGAUGACGAAAGUCCAAAGAUUUAUCGCCAGAGGAUGAGCCCGCGUAGGAUUAGCUAGUUGGUGUGGUAAAGGCGCACCAAGGCGACGAUCCUUAGCUGGUCUGAGAGGAUGAUCAGCCACACUGGGACUGAGACACGGCCCAGACCCCUACGGGAGGCAGCAGUGGGGAAUAUUGGACAAUGGGCGGAAGCCUGAUCCAGCCAUGCCGCGUGAGUGAUGAAGGCCUUAGGGUUGUAAAGCUCUUUCACCCGUGAAGAUAAUGACGGUAACGGGAGAAGAAGCCCCGGCUAACUUCGUGCCAGCCGCCGCGGUAA
rnacentral:rRNA from 1 species